rnacentral:rRNA from 1 species
AUGGCGCCCUCCACCACCACCGGUGCUGUCCCAGUCCCACGAUGUCCUGUUAUCUUCAACGGACAGAACUACAGGGACUGGGUGCAGCACAUGAAGCUGCACAUGAGGGGCCAGCUGGUCUGGGAGCACCUCUCUGGUGCUCUGCCUUGUCCCCUGCUGCCCACUCCUCCAGCUGAGUUGGCCUUCCCUGUUGAUGUCGAUGAAACCAAGCAACGUGAGAUGCUAGAUGCUUUUGAAGAGGCCACUGAAGGGUAUCAGAAUCAACUCCACUUAUACAAGCAAUGGACAAAUGAUGAUGCUCGAGCCUCUUCUAUCUUGGUGAACAGCAUGGAUGUUGAUCUCACCAUGGAUGUGGUGGCCCUUACCACUGCAUAUCAGAUGUGGGAGCACCUUCGCCAUCGCUAUGAGUCUGCAGGGGAUGCCAUGUAUCUCUCUGUUGUUCGUCAAGAGCAACAACUACAACAGGGAGAUGCUACUGUGGAUGAUUUCUACAAGGAGAUGUCGGCGGUGUGGCGCCAAUUGGACUCUCUGGGAGCUGAUGUUUGUCGCAGAUGUCAGUGUUGUGUGCGGCAACAAGCUAAGCUGGAGGUUCGUCGCCUCUACGACUUCCUCACUCGCCUCCGGCCGGAGUUCGAGCAGAGUCGUGCUCAGCUAUUGGCACGCCAUCCUCGGUUCUCUACUCUAGAGGCCCUUGCUGAGGUGCGAUCUGAGGAGGUGCGCCUACGGAGCACGGGCUUAUUGCCAUCCUCUUCAGCAGUCCUGGCUGCCCGUGUUCCACCAACGCUGCCUGGUGUGCCCUCUUCUACACAGGUGGCAGCAACCUCCACUAGUGCUUUCUGCAACUACUGCAAGCAGGAUGGUCACAUGAUCACGGAGUGCAUCAAGAGGAGGAAACAGGGUCGCCGUGGUGGCCGUCCUCAAAAGGACUCUGGGAGGCUCCUCUAA